ensembl:lncRNA
UUUUUUUUUUAGGGCUGCGAUGGUGGGCUGUGUGGAAGUUCCGGGGCUAGGUAUUGAAUUAGAGGUGCAGAUUCUGGCCUACACUACAGCCACAGCAACGCUGGAUCCUUAACCUACUGAGCGAGGCCAGGGAUCUAAACUGCACCCUCUUGGAUCCUAGUUGGGUUUUUAACCAGCUAAGCCACAAUGGGAACUCCUAUUUGGGUUUUCUUUUUCCAGCCAUUCCAGCUUCCCCAGUCGCUAUUAAGGAAAAACCGAUAACAUUAUAGGAAAUAAUUUUGUUUCUAUCAAAUGUAGCAGGUCUUCAGAAUCCUGGGCUUGGAUGAGGAACCUCAUUCUAUUCAGUGUCUUGGAGGUAGAAUAGGAGUUUAUUUGUAGAAAGGCUUUAUUAAAGGAAAUCCAAUAAGCCAUUUUGGAGCAAAUGUCUUCUACAACAGUGAUUUAAAACGGUAGGUUAUAAUGAAAUGUAGUUCAUGGCCAGUGCUUAAAAAAUAAAAGUGAGUGAAAAAGAGUGGAACACAAUAGAUCAGAGCACAUCAGACAUAGCAAGGGUAAGGCUCAUUUCUUGAAAUUUUGUUUCAGUUGCUUGGAUGUAACUGUGAAGGGAUUAUGAUGGAAAAUAUGUUGCCUACAGUGGUUCACAGUCAAGAAAGUUUGAAAGUCACUGUUACAGAUACGAGUCUUUGGAGUCUAGCUGCAGUUGUGCUGCUGCUACUGCUAUGACCUUAGGCAAGCCAUUUUUUUUUUCUCUGAUGGAUCUCAGUUUCUCAUCUGAUGAAUGACAAUUGUCUCUAAAGUCCCCUUGGUUCUGAAAUCCCAUAAGUAAAAUUCCCAAAGGAAUCAAUCUCAACUUUCAAUGAUUAUCCAUUAAAAAAUUCUCCUGGAGUUCCCGUCGUGGCUCAGUGGUUAACGAAUCCGACUACAAACCAUGAGGUUGCAGGUUCAAUCCCUGGCCUCGUUCAGUGGGUUAAGGAUCUGGCGUUGCCGUGAGCUGUGGUGUAGGUCGCAGAGGCGGCUCGGAUCUGGUGUUGCUGUGGCUGUAGCCAGCAGGCUGACAGCAACAGCUCUGAUUAGAUCCCUAGCCUGGAAACCUCCAUAUGCCGUGGGAGUGGCCCAAGAAAAUGGCAAAAAGACAAAAAAUUUAAAGAAAUAAAAUAAAAAAUUCUUCUGCACAGUCAACCUCUGUUUUCCUUAUUUGGGAAAGGCCUGAGUUCCCAAAAAGUUCUGAAGUGUGCAGACCACAGGGAGGAACACAGCCCAUGAGGAUGGAAGCCACUUCAAUAAGCUAACUUGGCUCCAGGACAAUCUUUUUGAGUUUCCAACGAUUGUUUUGUACCAGAUUUCUCUGGUUCCACUACAAUUAUAUUUCGGUUCCAUUUGAAAAUACAUACAAAUCCUCUUUGGGAUGGGGAAGCGGGGCGGAUGGGGAAGGACAACUAAUUGCUCAGGAAAGGCUGAACUUGGUUAAUUUGGAAACCACUCCCAGCGAAGGUUGAGCCUUGGGCCACUCACAGUUCCUGCUUUGUAUUAUGACUAAUGGGACGUCAAAGAAGCAUUGAUCUAAUAAGAGCAACCAGGGAGACCCAGAGUCAGCCAGGCCUCUGGGGGAGCGGGGGUGCAGGAGGAAUUGAGAGCUUCUGAUUUCUGGGCUGAGGUUCUUUCAAAACAGUCUUUUAAAUUAUUGAUUCCUUCAUUCAUAAAUUCAUAAGAGCAUCUCACACUAUUGCUCGGAUCUCAUUAGGCUCGUUGGAUGUUAAUCCUCCACAUUAAUAUCCCCCUAAAUUCACGUAGAGAAAAAACCAAGGCAUCUCAGGCACAACCAGAAGUCAGCUGUGUUCUGGGCGUUAAAACAUGUAACUUUAGGAAGGGCUUCUGUGAUAGAGCUGGUGUAGGGGUUCCGGGAAGGAAAGGCUCAUUUAGGUCCUUGAAACUUAGAUCUGAGUCUAACUUGUUUGCAGCAAGGAAGCAGCAAAGGUUUCUCUCUGUCAUCUGCAUUCAUUGUACUUUGAUUCCCCCAGUGAAUACUGUGGCCUUACCAAAACAUCAGACCCGGAAGGAAGCCUGCAGACCGUCUUGUUCAAACAUCCUUGUUUUUAGAAGAGGAAAGAGACAUUGACUUCUAACCAUCUUUUUUCUGUGUGAGGGUGCAUUCAAUGCUUUUAUUUCUUUACACGAAUUUUAAGGAGAUGUUGUUUUGCUUCUGAAGACUGACCAUCAGAAACGAAUUGGCGAAUUGUGGAUAUAGCUUCACUUCGUAUUGGCUUUUGCGAUAUUGCAUUUCAGUAAUUGGUAAACACUGCGCCUACCAACACCAUACAGAAAUCUUAACAACUUCUAUUCACGACCCGGUCCUCUCAGAACUCAAAGCCAGAGAUGCCUUGACAUGUACAAGAAAAGUUGGGGAGGCUUUUAUUAGCUUUGAUUUUGACCCCGUUCUCAUAAAUUAUGCAAAAUGUGUCACUUAUAUGAACAGCCCAGAAGAGCAGUUGCCAGUUGUAAUAUAAAAAAUGAUACCACGGAAACUGAGACCUGGUUGUGGCAGAUACCCUGUCAAAAGAAUGAUUUAUAAUCUGGAAAUACAAGCAGCAAGAGAGGCCCACCAGCUAGGGCUGUAUCAUCGAAAGCAAUCAAAUCCCGCAAAUAUAAAGCAAUUUUGUAUUACCAUUUCCAAGUGUUCCCCACAAUAAGGACUCUUGUAUGCCCAAGUUUAAUAUUCAGAGCAGAAACCACAAACUCUAGCAGCCGCUCCUGGUCAAGAUAGUUAAUAACAGUUCCCAGGCAGAGGCAGGCUGUAAUAGCAUCGCUCCAAGCAGCUGGGGAUUUGCUUGUAUGUCAGCCUCUCUCUCUCCGAGAACUAGAAAACGAUGGUAGGUCAGACAUCCAUUUGCUUUAUAUAUUGAUAUAAUUUCAUCAGAAUUUAUGAUGUGGGAAUUAUUGCACAGGCAAGCAAUGUAAUCUAACCUUCAUCUCACACAAUGCAGAAAAGAUAUUAUGUUUUUGAGAAAAAUAUACUGACUUGUUGAAUCAGAUUAUGCACAUACAACCCUAAUGGAUUUCAAUAUUUCCUUGGACGAGUCAUUGCUAUUUGCAUCAUGUGUAUUAAAUUGGCUUGUAUAGAAGAUGUUUUUACGAAUAAGAAAGGAUGCUAAUGCUGUUUCUUCUUUCAUUUUCUCAAGUUCUGGCAUGUGCGUUCAUUACUGGUAAAUUUUAAACAUCUGUGUGUGUGUGUAAUACUUUAUCCUAAUUUCUCCGGCCUAUAUUUAGACUUUCAAUAUCCAAAUAUUGCUAUAACAUAUACGAUUCUCUUUCAUCCUUCCGAAGAGUUCCUUGAGCUUCAAUUGUCAAAUAGAGUAAAUGCUGAGAGCCUUCAAGGACCAUCUUAUAAAACCUCAUCACAGCGAGUCCAUACAUCCUAUUGCUUGGCCCUUGAAACCAUUUUCAUUACCUUGAGUUCUAUAGUUUUCUUCCAGUGGGAAACUGAAUAUAAAAUAUGUUUUAAAAUGAAGGGCUUUCCAGAUGGCACUCGUUUCAUGUACAGACUAAACAGUUCCUCGAAUCAAAAAUCUUUUUUGUGUAAGUUUAGAAAGAAAGGACAACUUACCACUCAGAGGAGUACCCCCAACCUGUAUGCUUACGGAAGAGUCUUUUUGUAAUAGUUUUUGAUAUCUGCUAAUGACAUGAGUAUGUAGGGAAGGACCGUGAUUAAUCCAGACAACCCAAAGUCUCUAUUUUAAUCAUUCUAUAAAGGUCAUGUUGAACCGCAAAUAAUCGUAGAGCUAAAAUGUACACACUCUGGAACACAAUUUUUGAAAAUACAUACCUCAUAGAAGGCAUAUUUUAUCCAAAUAGGAAAAAAAAAAAGCCCUCGUGUCUAAUUGGUUGGUAUCUCCAAAUAAUAAUAAUUAUUAUUCUUCAUCGUGUACCCACUGCUACAUACCCUACCAAGUGCUCAAUAUGUAUUAUCUCUGAUCCUCCUCCCCUCCCAUUUUGAGGUCACUGUUGUUACCCUCAUCCUUCAAAUGAGGAAAUGGGUAUUCAGAAAGGUUAAGUGCCUUGCUUAGGGGCACAUAUGUAGUGAGGGGUAGGGCCCACAAUUGAACCAAUGUUGUUUGGAUUUCAGAGCCUGGAUUCUUUUCAGUGCUUCCUGGAGCUCUUCCUUCCAGAAGGCUGGCUGGGUUAGGGGCUCCUUUCAACUGUUUUUUGGACCACCCCAUAGCCACUCCCACUUUCUUCUCUGUAGCUGUCUCCCACUAGGAGAAACUCAGAAGUCUUUUAUGACAUAUAACCAAAAGUCUGUGGGGUAGGCAGGGAUCAGGGAGCCAUUCGAUUCCUUAAGGAAAGAAGAAGAGGAUCAGAAGCAGUUGAAUGGUUCUAUCUUCUUCUCUUUCUUCCUGCCUUGAACAGGAAUGUGGUGACUGGUGCUGUGGCAGCCAUCUUGCAACUAUGAGGCAGACACAGAGAGCAUUUCAGGUAUGUGGUCUUGACGUUGUUGAAUGUGGACAGCUUUCUUUCUCCAAAUGCCUUGUUAUGGAGAAAAACAAAAUCUUGUUGAAAAGGUUUUAAGGAGAGGUUUUGCAGCCAAAUGUCCCCUCAGGUACACCCACCCCGCCAUGUGGAAAUUUCACUCAGUCCCUUGUUUCUCACAGGAGAGACAGAAGAAAGGUUUUCUUUUCCCUAAGCUUCUGAAAGGUAGAAUCUGGUGACUAGACACUAGACAGAAGCCGCAGGUGGGAUGUUCAUAAGUUCAGGUGAUCCUUAGGCACAGGUGUGAAAGUCUUAGGAGGGGAAACAAAAACAAUUGUUGCUGUUACUGGAGAAUCACCUUAUUAUCUUACUAAAUCCAUUCUUGUUUUUUGAGAGACUUCUUGAUCACCUAAUAACAUUUGAAUAAAGUUGCCAAGUGAAGGCUCAUGGGAUUUAACUCUCCACAAUCUCAUUCCAUUGACUUGUCCAUCCUUAUUGCCAUCAUGCUUGUUCCUUUAAGACGGCAUUGCCAGACUUAGCAAAUUAAACAAGACAAGAUGCCCAGUUAAAUUUGAAUUUCAGAAAAGUAGUGAAAACAAUUUUAGUACAUGUAUGUUUCAGGAAUGAUUGUUUAUUUGGUAUACAGCAUCCCAUGGAAUAUUUGGGGCAUAUUUUAUCUGGUACCUUUACUUUGAGACUCUGAUCAACCCAAAGAGUUUGUAUCAGGACACCCCAUAAAGCCCUUUGUAAUUCAUGUACUCAGCCACCCCAAGUCAUCGCUUGCCUCAUUCAUCGCUUGCCUCAUUUUAUUUUCUUAUAUUUACCAUCCUUCGCUGCUUUUUAAAAUUCCUACCAUUGCUCAGUUCCUCCAGUCAUGUAUGCCUGACUGAUGACUUCCACGCUUCAACUUCUGGCUCUUUCCUGAGGAGAGAUCCACCAGAAACUCCUCCUCCUCCUCCUACACACGUACACACAUACACACACACAUACACACACACACACACUAAGCUCUUCUCUGGCAGGCAUUACCCUUGCAUUGGUUCCCACUGAUGUGAUGAAGGGAAAGCAAUCUCUCCUCUGUUAUUGGACAUGGCAGAAUUAUUCCCACUUUGAUGAUGAAGUGCCGUUCAUUCAUUUAUUGGUUGGACAAACAGUGGCAGAGCAUGUAUUAUAUGCUGGGUGCUGUGGGGAAAAACAAGUAGGACAUGGCCUGACUUGGAAGAGCCCACAAUGAGUUGCAGAGAGGGUUGAGCAGCAGGUGAGGAUAAUGCAGAGCUAUCACUGCUCAUGGACGAGUGGGCGAUGGAUCAUGGACCAGGGAAGGAAGGACUCUGCAUGGACCAGGGGCACGAAUGUUGGUGUUUCACCUACCUGCUCAGCUUCCUGUCCCCUCCCCAAAUCCACUCUUUCCUAUCAGCGGCUCUGUUUCCUACAGUUCCCGCUGGCCCAUCACCUGCCUGGUGGAUUCCUGGUGUCAGUCUGGUACCUGGUCUGUGAUCUCCCUGAGGACAGGUACCAGGCCCUUCAUAUUUGUCUGCAUCUCUGGCGCAAUAAAGGUCCUCAAAAAUAUCUGCAGGCUAUGACAUGGAUGAGCUUUUUAAAGCGGGGCUUUUAAAAAAUAGAGGAAGUGGGAGGAUUACGUGGCUUUUAUACAGCCGCAGCACAAGUCAGUUGCUGAGCAGCAGUUAGAGGUCACCGCUUUGGAAUUUACGGUCACUUGUCAAAUUGGUAGAGUCAGGCAAAAGUGGUAUAAACAUAAUUCCCAAUUCCAUCUGAAGUAGAAGAUCUUGGGACCUUUUCCGUCUAGUUACCCCCAAACAGCUCUGAUGUAUUGCAUUUAAGCAUUCCUACACAAUACUUAUAU